rnacentral:tRNA from 1 species
GGGUUGGUGGUCUAGCUUGGCUAUGAUACUUGGUUCGGGACCAAGUGGUCAGACUGUGAUGCACCAUGCGUCACAGGACCAAGAGUUCAAGUCGUGACACACCAGGUGUCAUGAGAAUUCAUCUCCUCCAGCCCACCA